CGAAAGGGGCAGUAAGGCAUGGCUAACCUACCCCGGGGACGGGGAUAGCCUCCCUAACGGGAGGGUAAUACCCGGCGAUGUGGCGAAGGGGCAUCUCCUUGCCAUGAAAUGAGUUUCGCCUCGGGAGGGGGUCAUGUGCUAUUAGCUUGUUGGCGGGGUAACGGCCCACCAAGGCGAAGAUGGCUAGCGGGUGUGAGAGCACGACCCGCGCCACUGGCACUGCGACACUGGCCAG
rnacentral:rRNA from 1 species